AAAUUUUGUAUGGUGAAUAUUUUUAUUUUCCUCCAAUUAAUUUUAUUUUAGAUUAUUAAGUUUUGCUUGAAUUUGAUUUUGUGCAUCCCAAUUCCUCUUAACAAGAAUUAUAAAGACUUCGAAUAUGGUCAAAUUGAAAUUGAUUCUACGAACCAAAUACCGAUAAAUAGACAUUUUAUGUAUCCAACUGCAAAAAUCAUUUUAAGGUUCAUCGAAACCUUUUCGGAGAUGAAAUACCACCUAAAGCAAGGGAGAAGGGACACAUGUUGGUUUUCUCUGUCGAGGGGGUUUGCGCAAGGUCAUAUUCGUUGCUAGAUAUAUAUAAGGUCGGGUGGAAGGUUUAUUCGCGUUUCUGUGCUGUUGGUCUCACUACAAGCUACUUUUGGACCCUUAAUACCAAUAUUUGAGCUUGGAUGAAGUAUAAAAGUUCACUAUUUUUUUCCAGGGACCUACUAUAUGUUCAGUUCGUACAAUUCUCAAUAAGUUUUAAGCUCAGUUUUCUAUAACACCACAGAGGUUGGAGAAAAUGUAAAUUAUCAAUUAUGUGAAUGCUUUGACAGAAAGUCUACAGAUGUUGACAGGAACAAGGAGGUUGUAGAAUUGUGAACUAUUGGAACUCAUGCUUUUGCAACUAAUUUUUUCCGUUUGAUCGUUGGCAUGUUGAUCUCGAUGAAAGAUUUUCCUAACAACAAUUUGGCCUCAUGUAGUCAUCAAGCAUCAAUGUUCCUUUCAAGGUUAUGUACAAAAUGGUGUGUGUACAUGUAUUCUCUUUGAUUUCUGAAGUAAGUUGGAUGUUAAUCUUAUAUUUUUGUAUGCAUAAAAAAAUUUGAAAAAGCGUGCAUGGAACCGCGACAUGUUGGAUUUUGGGAGCAUGAACACCAGCAUAUGCAUCACCUCUUAUAUUC